rnacentral:rRNA from 1 species
UACGAGUGCCUCGAGCGUUAUCCGGAAUCAUUGGGCGUAAAGGGUGUGUAGGCGGUGAUGUUAGUCUCUUGUAAAAUCUUUCGGCUCAACCGAGAGUCUGCGGGGGAAACGGCAUCACUUAGAGGACGGGAGAGGUCUCUGGAACUCAUGGUGUAGCGGUGAAAUGCGCUGAUAUCAUGGGGAACACCAAAAGCGAAGGCAAGAGACUGGCCCGCUCCUGACGCUGAAACACGAAAGCGUGGGUCGCGAAUGGG